GCCUAUCUUAUUUACUGAUUGCUGUAGCUAUUUUACAUGCAUACUUGGCUUAAUAAAGUUUAGAAUUAAUUGAUACAUUUCCAUACCUCUUGGCUAUACUAACUCCUUUGCUUUUUCAUAUAAACUUGAAAAUAACCUUGUCAGCUUCUAUAAAGAAGUCUGCUGGGAAUUUGAUUAUGGUUGUGGCAAAUCUAUAGAUCAAUUUGGGGAACUGUUGACAUCUUGAUGAUAUGACCACAAGAUACUCUCCAUUUGUGUAAGUCUUCUUUGAUUUCUCUCAUCUGUGCUUUGUAGUAUUCAGCAUAUAAAUCUCUUGCACCUGUAUUUUAUUGUUUCCAUCAAUAUUAUAAAUGACACCUUAAAACUUAAAAGAAAAUUCCAUUCCCAUUUGUUCAUUACUAGUACCUAAAAAUAGGAUUGAUUUUGAUCGAACGGCUUAUAUCCUGUGUCCUUUCUGAACUAACUUAUUAGAAUUUGUUGAAUUAGAAUUAGAAUUAGAAUUAUUUAGAAUAGAAUAGAAUUGGAAUUAGAAUUCUAAUUAGAAUUAGAAUUUGUUGUAGCUUUUAUAGAUUCCUGGGGUGUAUAUAUGUAGUCAACUAUGUCAUCUGUGAAUACAGACAGAUUUAUUUAUUUUCCAAUUAGUAUGCCUUUUGUUUCAUUUCUUGCUUAUUUUACCCAUAAGGACUUCUGACAGAUGAGCAGUGAAAGUGGAUGCCACCUGAUGUUAAGUGGAAAUCAUUCAGCCUUUUAAAAUUAGGAUACCAUGUGACACUUGGUAGUCUUGUCUCCUUGGGCUCCUUUUGUAACUCGGACUUGUUUUUGGUGCCCUUGAUAGUUUUGAGGGGUGCUGGUCAGUUAUUCUGUAGAAUGUUCCUCACUGGAAUUUGAUGUUUUUCUCAUGAUUCGACUGGAGUAAGAUGUUUUGGGCAGGAAGACCACAGAGGCUGAGCCUGCUGCGGACAAGCCUGUAAUCACCAGUGACCUGCUCAGACCUUGGACUCCCGCAGCCAGGUUCCAAGGUCAUUCGGACCAGGUGCCUCCAAUCAUCUCUGACUGCUGAAGGUCCUGAGCUGGUCUCUGUGGAAGAUCGAUUGUGUUAAUGGCUCUCCGAGAGGCGUGUAUCCAGACCCUUUGGUAGUGACCUUCCACACUCCCCAAGAAUCUCAAUUCAGACAGGUGGCUUGCUUGGCCAAUAAGACAGAAGCAACCUUGACUCAAGCCGAGCUUGGAGAAGUGCGUGCGCGUUGCCACCAGGCACCUGCAUUUCCAUAAUGAGAACACACCCUCGGCCUAGUUUUUCCGGAAGUGAUGUGAGAGUUACGUGAAAGAGAGCCAUGCUGUUCAUAGCCCAGGUCAUUCUGGAACAGCCCGCCACCGGUCAACCCAGAUCACAGCUGCAUGAACAAGCUUAUCCAAGAUCAGCCGAAACCAGCCCAGUUGCCCUUGCAGACUCUUAAGAAAUAACAAAUGGUCAUCAUGUGAGCCACUAAGAUUUGGGAUGCUUGGUCCGCCGCAGUAGCUGACUGAUAAAGCUCCUUUACCCGCACAUCAAAGCCAUUCCAGAGAUCAGCCUGAAGGAAGUCAGGCUGGGCUCUAGAAGAUGGAAAACCUUGGGAGGCUCAUGCUGUAUCUCCAAUGCCCAAGUUCACAGGGAGGGGGGCACUGGAGUUGCUUAACGAUGAGCCAAGAAAUCAAACUUGGACGCUGAGAGUCACUAGGAUCCUCUUAGACUCCAUUUCGGUUGGCUUUCAUCAAAUCUCAGAAAUAACACAUGCGCAUUAGAAAGGUAACAAACAAAAGUAUAUGAAGUUAAAUGUCCCACUCUACAGUACCACCUGCUCUCUUCUCUCCCCUGUCUGUCCUCACCCUGAUUUCAUCCCCUGAAGGGAACCAUUGCUAACAAUUUGAUGUGUAUCCUUCCAGAUAGUUUUCGAUGCACACACACACACACACACACAAAUAUAGACAGAGUUCCUUGACAAAAAGGGAGUAACAGUAAAAUAUUGUUCUGUGACCCCCUUACUUUACUUAACGGACCACCAACAAGUCUAGCUCAUUGUUUUUAAAAGAUGUAUAGUAUUUCACGGCACGGACAUUCUGUAAUUUGCCACAUCCCUGUAGACAUCUAGAUGGGUUCAAAUCUUCUUACUGUAACUGAAACAUAUAUAUAAUAUCCUCAUGCCUAUAUGGUGCUACUUCUAUGGGAUAUAUACCUAAAAGUGGAGCUGCUCGGUCAAAUAUUUUUUUUUACAUCUAUUUAUUUUUGAGAGACAGAGUGAGACAGAG